CUCACUAUGCAGUCCAGGCUGGCCUUGAUCUUGAGGUGAUCUUCCUGCCUCAGCCUACUGAGUGCUGGGAUUACAGGCAUGCACCACUAUACCUGGCAAGCCACUACUCAUUAUGUAGCCCAUACUGGCUUUGAACUUGUACUCCUGAUGCCUCAGGUUCCCAAGAGCUGGUAUUACAGGGGACUAAGACUUGAGACGAAAAGCAACAGCCUGCCCAGAACCUGUGCAUCCUCUGCCCUCCCAAGGUUGGUCUAUGCCAGAAUGAGCCUUGGGCAUCACACAGAAGAGCUGGGCCUCAGUGGCCACAAGGGGGAUCGAAAUCAGGACCUUGUGCUUGCGAGCCAGGCAUGGUGCCACUGAGCUAAAUCCCCUGCUACAGCACUCCUAAUGGACUCUCCUUUGUUUCUGUACCAGCGUCUUCUGUCUUACCUCUUCCUGUAUUUCUUUUUUGCCAAUAAAGAUUUGUUUAUUAUAAAUCACUUGGUCUGUGGUGUUCUGUUUUAGCAGAACAAAAUAGACUCAGUCACCCCUGUGACUCUAGAACAUUUCUCAGCCUUUCUUUGUUUUCUAUGAUGUUGACAUUUUUGAAGAAUACAUUCUUCUUCCCUGAGGGUUUUUUUCCCAUUGAGUUUAUUGGUACAUUUUAGGUAUACAAUAGAGUUACAUUCAUCAUUGGGAUCUUGUACCUUUA
rnacentral:lncRNA from 1 species